UAGCAUAAUCAGUAGUCUUUUAAUUGGAGGCUGGAAUGAAUGGUUGGACAAGGGGGAAGCUGUCUCUUUUUACAAUUUUUGAAUUUUACUUUUAAGUGAAAAGGCUUAAAUAAUUUGGGGGGACGAUAAGACCCUAUAAAAUUUUACAAAAUUGGGAUUUUUUUUUGAAUUAAGGUUUAAAUUCUAUAAGUUCUUAUUUGUUUUGUUGGGGCGGCAAAGAUAAAAAUUAGUAACUGUCAUUUAAUUAGAAUAAUUAUAAUUAGUUUAAUUGAUCCUUUAUUAGAGAUUAAAAGAUUAAGUUACUUUAGGGAUAACAGCGUAAUUUUCCCUGAGAGUUCUUAUCGACGGGAGUAGUU
rnacentral:rRNA from 1 species